UACGUAGGGUGCAGGCGUUAAUCGGAAUUACUGGGCGUAAAGCGUGCGCAGGCGGUUUGCUAAGAGAGAUGUGAAAUCCCCGGGCUUAACCUGGGAACUGCGUUUCUAACUGGCAGGCUUGAGUGUGGCAGAGGGGGGUGGAAUUCCACGUGUAGCAGUGAAAUGCGUAGAGAUGUGGAGGAACACCGAUGUCGAAGGCAGCCCCCUGGGCUAACACUGACGCUCAUGCACGAAAGCGUGGGGAGCAAACAGG
rnacentral:rRNA from 1 species